rnacentral:lncRNA from 1 species
AAAUUUUUAUAACAUGUGAGUUAUAUCUCAGUAAAAAAAAAUCACUUAUAAUUUUAGUUGAUCUCUAUUUUGAGAAUUACUUCCCAGGGAGGGGGUACACAACAUCUACCCCCCUUCUCAUAAAAUGCCAAUGGCAAAGCAAAGUUCAAUUCUACCAAAGUUCAUCUUGGGGGACCAAUGAGUUUCGGGAGCCCGUUUAUAGAGCCUGUGUGAGGGGCAACUGACAGGAGUGUGGCGACUCCUGAGCAGCUGCUUUGAAAAGUCUUUACCGAGCAUGGAUGAUGGUUUCUUCCUAGCCAGCCAGGCAGAGGCCCUUCCAUUAAAAUUCCCCAGCCCUCCAAGGCUUCAGCCAUGUGCAAUUGAACAGAGUGGCAGACAAAUGGCUGGGAGGUGUGGUUGAAAUCUCAGGAGGGAAUGAGAAUAAGCCUGGAGCUCCUUGCAAGCAGGCAGAGUUGCUCUGAUGAAGCUGGCAGCUGCGUUUGCUCAGGGGUCUGAGCCCUACAACAAUCUCCAAGUGUUUGACCUACAUGUCUAUCUGUGCACCGCCCGCACUGAGUGCCGACACCGACAGAAGCCAGCAGAGGAUGUCCGUUACCCUGGACUGGAGUUACAGUUGUGAGCUGCCAUGUAGGUGCUAGAAAUGGAACCCUAAGUCCUCUGCAAGAGCAGUCACUGCUUUCUACUGAGCCAAUUCUCCAGCUCCCUAUUCAUCAAACGUUUACCAAGCACCUAGUCCUUAUGUAUUGGACACAGAGUCAGUUUUGGGGGAGAGUGCUGUGACCUCUUCCCUUGGGGAGCUCCAACCUAUAAGGAAAUACUAUUAUUGUAUUUCCCUAUUAUUUUAUUGUUUUUUAAAAUGUGCAUGUAUCUGUAUAUUCCACAUAUGUGCGGGUGCAGGUGUGUAUGUUUCUGUGUGUACAUGUCACAUGUGUGCAGGUGCCCGUGAAGUUCAGAACAGGGCAUUAGAUCUCUAGAGCUGAAUACGGCAGCUGUGAGCCACCCGAUGUGGGUGCGAGGAACAGAGCUCUGAUGUAAUGCAAGAACCAUAAGCGCUUCCCGCUGAUCACUAUCUCCAGCUUUGUUGUGUUUAUUGUACAGAAAAGAGGUGCAGUGUUGAAAGGUCUUUGAAAGCUAUGGAGUGCUGUGAAAUAUAAUAAACAAUGUGUCUUACGCUU